UUGGAGGGCAAGUCUGGUGCCAGCAGCCGCGGUAAUUCCAGCUCCAAUAGCGUAUAUUAAAGUUGCUGCAGUUAAAAAGCUCGUAGUUGAAUUUCGGGACCAAUAUGUCGGUCGUGCCUCGGUACGUACUGGCAUCGUUGGUUUCCCCCUUCUGAAGAACUAUGAUGUCAUUAAUUUGGUGUCAUGGGGAAUCAGGACUGUUACUUUGAAAAAAUUAGAGUGUUUAAAGCAGGCUCACGCUUGAAUACAUUAGCAUGGAAUAAUGAAAUAGGACGUUUGAUUCUAUUUUGUUGGUUUCUAGGAUUGACGUAAUGAUUAAUAGGGAUAGUUGGGGGCAUUAGUAUUCAAUUGUCAGAGGUGAAAUUCUUGGAUUUAUUGAAGACUAACUACUGCGAAAGCAUUUGCCAAGGAUGUUUUCAUUAAUCAAGAACGAAAGUUAGGGGAUCGAAGACGAUCAGAUACCGUCGUAGUCUUAACCAUAAACUAUGCCGACUAGGGAUCGGAUGAUGUUAAUUUUUUAAUGACUCAUUCGGCGCCUUACGGGAAACCAAAGUGUUUGGGUUC
rnacentral:rRNA from 1 species